rnacentral:tRNA from 1 species
UGAGCGGUAGUUCAGUCGGUUGCUUUCUGUUAAGAAUCAGCCGGCCUGUCACGCCGGGGGUCGCGGGUUCGAGUCCCGUCCGCUCCG